UGAGCGGCUGCGACUGCGCAUGCGUGAGGUUGCUGGCGAGAAGACGGUCGGCCAUGGCGUCGCUCGAAGCCUUUCCCCGGGGCGUCGUCCCCGUCCACGUCGUUUACUGCGGGGCCUGAGGCUACAAACCCAAGUUUCUGCAACUCAAGAAGAAAUUGGAAAAUGAAUUUCCCGGCCAGGUGGAGAUUAGCGGUGAGGGGACUCCGCAGGUCACCGGCUGGUUUGAAGUGACAGUAGCUGGGAAGCUGGUGCAUUCCAAGAAGGAGGGCGAUGGGUUCGUGGACUCCGAGAGCAAGUUCGCCAAGAUCCGGAUGGCCAUCAAGGCCGCCCUAGUCCCAGGCUACUGAAGGAGCCCCCCGGCCCGGGGGCUAGUGCAGCCCAGGGCCUCGGCCCCACCCCCUCCGCCCAGACGCUUGAUGACGGGAGCGACUGAAAUGUCUCUGGACGCGUGGUCGUUCCCUGAGGCCCCGCGUCGGCUGGCGGAAGGGAUGGGGCGGAUGCCGUGGAGUUUCGCUUCCCCGUGCGUCCCGUGACUUGGAGCGCAUGGAUCCGCUUCCGGGCCUCCCCUUCCCUCACCCCCGCCCCACCCCGAUCCGCUGCCUCCCGCCGGCUCUGCCCGCCGGCCCCCACCCCCCUGGGUCCUGACCACCCGGAGCACGUGGCCGGAGGGGUGACGAGGGGGACCCCGGGGAGCCAUCUUGUUCUGACGCUUUCCUUGCCAUCCCCCUCCCUCCCUCGUUGAGGAAGAGGAGGGUCAGUGUGGCAGGAACCUCUGCCCCUUCUCUAUCCUUCCCCCCCACCCCCUACUCCCCUGUCCCAGGGCUUGGUGUGAAAAGGUGUGGGAGUUUGAACCUGCCAGAGGCCUCUUCCCCACCCCAGCUUCCCAACUUGUGGCGGCUGUGUGUAAGCAAAUAAAGAAAUUGAAAGAAAACCCAA